rnacentral:rRNA from 1 species
UACGGAGGAUCCAAGCGUUAUCCGGAUUUAUUGGGUUUAAAGGGUGCGUAGGCGGCGUGUUAAGUCAGAGGUGAAAGCCUGCAGCUCAACUGUAGAACUGCCUUUGAUACUGGCGCGCUUGAGUACAGAUGAAGUGGGCGGAAUGUGACAAGUAGCGGUGAAAUGCAUAGAUAUGUCACAGAACACCGAUUGCGAAGGCAGCUCACUAAAGUGUAACUGACGCUGAGGCACGAAAGCGUGGGGAUCAAAC